UCGGAUAUGGUGUAACGGUCAACAUUGCCGCCUCUCAGUCUGUUUGCUGUCUUUGGACCCAAUCCCUCCAAAGACGGCGACCGGGUCCGCGGCAGCUCGGGGUUCGAUUCCCCGUAUCCGAA